rnacentral:rRNA from 1 species
UUGAACGAUUCUUCGGAUGAGGGAUGGUCCCUAGUAGAGUGGCGAACGGGUGAGUAGCGCGUGGGCAACCUGCCCUAAAGUUCGGGGAUAACAUCCCAAACGGGGUGCUAAUACCGCAUGUGAUGUGAGUGUCGCAUGGCACACACAAGAAAGAUGGCCUCUGCUUGCAAGCUAUCGCUUCUAGAUGGUCUCGCGUCCGAUUAGCUUGUUGGUGGGUAAAAGCUCACCAAGGCGACGAUCGGUAGCUGGUCUGAGAGGAUGGUCAGCCACACUGGGACUGAGAUACGGCCCAGACUCCUACGGGAGGCAGCAGUCGAGAGGCUUUGUCAAUGGGGGAAACCCUGAACAAGCGACGCCGCGUGGGGGAUGAAGGCCUUUGGGUUGUAAACCCCCUUUCAGUAGGGACGAAAGUUAUGCGGGUGAAUAAUCCGUGUAGUUGACGGUACCUACAGAAGAAGCUCCGGCUAACUCCGUG